rnacentral:rRNA from 1 species
GGGGGGGGGUGGGGGGGGGCCGAGGACGUGCAGGUCGAGCGGGCGGGGGGGGGGGGGGCUCGUGUGGGGGUGGCGGGGGGCGGGUGGGUAAGGCGUGGGUCGCCUACCGCUAAGACUGGGGUGACUCCGGGGAACCGGUGCUGAUGCCGGCUAACCUGUAGAACCGCAUGGGUCUGGAGUUACAGGUGGCUUGGCUGUUACUUAUAGCUGGACCCGCGACGGAUUAGCUAGGUGGUAAGGGAACGGCGUACCAAGGCAACGAUCCGUAGCCGAUCUGAGAGGGUGAUCCGCCACACUGGAACUGAGACACGGUCCAGACUGCUACGGGAGGCAGCAGUAGGGAAUAUUGCGCAAUGGGCGAAAGCCUGACGGAGCAACGCCGCGUGAGUGAUGAAGGUCUUCGGAUCGUAAAGCUCUGUUAUUAGGGAAGAACAAAUGUGUAAGUAACUGUGCCCGUCUUGACGGUACCUAAUCAGAAAGCCCCGGCUAACUACGUG